GAAGGGGGAUGCAAGCGUUAUCCGGACUCACUGGGCGUAAAGCGUCUGUAGGUGGUGAUGCAAGUCACUGGUGCAAAACUCUGGCUCAACCGGAGGAAAGCCAGUGAAACUGCAUGACUAGAGUGUGGGAGAGGUAGAAGGAAUUCCCUGAGUAGCGGUGAAAUGCGUAGAUACAGGGAAGAACACCGGAGGCGAAAGCGUUCUACUGGAACACAACUGACACUGAGAGACAAAAGCUAGGGGAGCGAAGGGG
rnacentral:rRNA from 1 species